GGAGGAGUAUCGAAGUGGUCAUAACGGGCCGCACUCGAAAUGCGGUAGUCCGAAAGGGCUCGUGGGUUCGAAUCCCACCUCCUCCGCCA
rnacentral:tRNA from 1 species